UGCAUUAUAUAAACACUACACAAACACACAUUGCAUUAUAUACACUGUGUAGUGUAUUUAUAUAAUGCAGUGUUUGUGUAGUGUGCAUUCUAUAA